GUCUACGGCCACACCACCCUGAACAAGCCCAAUGUCUGAUCUGAGAAGUUAAGCAGGGUCGGGCCUGGCUAGUACUUGGAUGGAAGACCAGGUGCUGUAGGCA
rnacentral:rRNA from 1 species